rnacentral:miRNA from 1 species
CGGUGGAACUUGAGGACGGUG